CAGUAGCCACGGGAAUACGUAGGUGGCAAGCGUUGUCCGGAAUUAUUGGGCGUAAAGGGCUCGCAGGCGGUUUCUUAAGUCUGAUGUGAAAGCCCCCGGCUCAACCGGGUAGGGUCAUUGGAAACUGGGAAACUUGAGUGCAGAAGAGGAGAGUGGAAUUCCACGUGUAGCGGUGAAAUGCGUAGAGAUGUGGAGGAACACCAGUGGCGAAGGCGACUCUCUGGUCUGUAACUGACGCUGAGGAGCGAAAGCGUGGGGAGCGAACAGGAUUAGAUACCCCCGUAGUCCCUGUCUCUUAUAU
rnacentral:rRNA from 1 species